rnacentral:SRP_RNA from 1 species
GCCGGGAGUUGUGGCGAGCUCUUGUAAACUAGCUUCUCAGUGGCUUAGGAUGGGGAAGACCUGCCCAUUGGAAUAACGCUUGUCUGCUUGGUAUCGUUGACCGAGUGUCCGUGUCAAGCGUAGCGUCGAUAGGCCAACAGUUGGGGGAGCCUACUGUUGACCGGUCGUAGUAAGUUCGCUUACUUCUAAAGAGAGAUGGAUGGCUCAGGCCCGUGAGGGAGCAGGCAAAAGUCUCCGCGCUAUGACAGUGACCGGAUGGCACACGCGAGGUAUUAAGUUUCAAGUGCCAGUGGUAUACGUUCCCACUCAUUCUUUU